GUGGUUGGCGAGUUCUAGAGAGAGAAGGAGAAAGAAGAACGUGAAGGAGAAGAAAAAGAAAGAAAGAAGAAGAAGAAGGAGAAGAAAAUAGAGGUGUUCAAAUCUCUCUAUAGGGUUUGAGCAAGGUGGUGGCCAUAGUUUGGGUUCUUGAGUGCUAUCAAGAGAAGCUCGUUGUGACAUAUUCUCGUUUUUGCUUUGCUCGGACUUAAGAUAAACAAUAGGGUUUCUCUCUGGCACGCGCUGUGAUGUGGGGAGUUCCGACGUGUAACGCCCCACGUCACUAUGGUUGCUUCCUCGAAUGACGACUAACCCUACAAUCCAACACGAGUCUUUCUAGCGUGCUUUGUCCUCACUCGCACGCUUCCUGGGAAAACUUUCCAGGAGGUCACCCAUCAUAAGAUUGCUCCAGGUCAAGCACGCUUAACUUUGGAGUACUCAAGUGAUGGGCUACCGAAAAGAAGAUGCAUCUUGUUGGCAUAGGUGUUCGCUAGGGCUUGGGAUGGGAUCACGCUCGAGGGUCGACUUUCUUAACCAAAGCAUUAUGAAUUAAAGGUAAAGGCAAGGGUAAGCUGGAUCAACCCUGAUUUGGAGAGUUCUAGAGGCAGAAUGAACAUAGUCAGUUGCUCGGCCGCCACGGUCGAGGGAUGGGCAGGGACAGAAGAACCUUAAAUGUCUAUUUUGCCCUUAGAGUGGCUUGUAGUUAUAUAUAACCCUGAUAUUUUGUAAAUUUUCAUUUAAACUCUAUUUCUUUUGGGAU